rnacentral:misc_RNA from 1 species
CGAAUUGUUGACACGAGUUGUUGCUGGCCUUCAAACGGGGGCACGUGCACGCUCUGUUUAUACAUCCACCCACCCCUGUGCACCUUUUGUAGUUCUGUGGUCUGGAGGCCUGUCCCCCUGCUGUGGUUCUGCAUCUUUACAAAUACACACUGUAAUAAAGUCUCAUGGAAUGCAUGUCGCGUUUAACGCAAUACAAUA